AAGACCGGCCUCCCGGCAGCUGAGGUGUGGGAGGUCUAUGGAAGCCUCCUUCUUGGCCAGUUGAUCCCUCAAUUGCUUCUUGGCGUACUCUCGAAGGUUGAACUUGUGGUUGGAGAUGGUGGUGUCAUACCUGUUAGGUGAUUAAUAAUCCAUGCUAGGAAUCCCUGGAUUGGAAAUCAGAAAGAAAAGUUCAUCAAGGUUGACAAUGAAAACUUUGUCAAGGAGGCACUAGUAGUAGAAGGAGGUUUCCUCGAACUAGGAUUUCUAAAGUAGUAUUUGGUACGAUUUGAGGUUGUGAGCGAUGCAAAUUAGACAUCUACAAUAAGAUCAACCAUCGACUAUGAAGUUGGCGAUGAGCACACGGGCAUCGCAUCCUUUGUCAGCACCAGUACUUUAGCUUGCCUUGCUGAGGCCAUCACAAAGCAUAUCAAGGCACAGACGGAAGGUGGGCAAGGCCGCGAGCAAACUUGA
rnacentral:rRNA from 1 species